ACGAACGCUGGCGGCGUGCUUAACACAUGCAAGUCGAACGGAAAGGCCCCUUUGGGGGUACUCGAGUGGCGAACGGGUGAGUAACACGUGAGUAACCUGCCCUUGACUUCGGGAUAACUUCAGGAAACUGGGGCUAAUACCGGAUAGGAAUCCUUGCUGCAUGGUGGGGGUUGGAAAGCUUCGGCGGUUUUGGAUGGACUCGCGGCUCAUCAGCUUGUUGGUGGGGUAGUGGCUUACCAAGGCUUUGACGGGUAGCCGGCCUGAGAGGGCGACCGGCCACAUUGGGACUGAGAUACGGCCCAGACUCCUACGGGAGGCAGCAGUGGGGAAUAGUGAACAAUGGGCGGAAGCCUGAUGCAGCAACGCCGCGGGCGGGAUGACGGCCUUCGGGUUGUAAACCGCUUUCAGCAGGGGCGAAGCUUGUGGUGACGGUACCUGCAGAAGAAGCACCGGCUAACUACGUG
rnacentral:rRNA from 1 species